UAGGGAAUCUUCCGCAAUGGGCGAAAGCCUGACGGAGCAACGCCGCGUGAGUGAUGAAGGUCUUCGGAUCGUAAAACUCUGUUAUUAGGGAAGAACAAAUGUGUAAGUAACUAUGCACAUCUUGACGGUACCUAAUCAGAAAGCCACGGCUAACUACGUGCCAGCAGCCGCGGUAAUACGUAGGUGGCAAGCGUUAUCCGGAAUUAUUGGGCGUAAAGCGCGCGUAGGCGGUUUUUUAAGUCUGAUGUGAAAGCCCACGGCUCAACCGUGGAGGGUCAUUGGAAACUGGAAAACUUGAGUGCAGAAGAGGAAAGUGGAAUUCCAUGUGUUGCGGUGAAAUGCGUAGAUAUAUGGAGGAACACCAGUGGCGAAGGCGACUCUCUGGUCUGUAACUGACGCUGAGGCUCGAAAGCGUGGGUAGCAAACAGG
rnacentral:rRNA from 1 species